rnacentral:rRNA from 1 species
AACGAACGCUGGCGGCAUGCCUAACACAUGCAAGUCGAACGAGACCUUCGGGUCUAGUGGCGCACGGGUGCGUAACGCGUGGGAAUCUGCCCUCUGGUACGGAAUAACUCAGGGAAACUUGAGCUAAUACCGUAUAAUGACUUCGGUCCAAAGAUUUAUCGCCUGAGGAUGAGCCCGCGUCGGAUUAGCUAGUUGGUGAGGUAAAAGCUCACCAAGGCGACGAUCCGUAGCUGGUCUGAGAGGAUGAUCAGCCACACUGGGACUGAGACACGGCCCAGACUCCUACGGGAGGCAGCAGUGGGGAAUAUUGGACAAUGGGCGAAAGCCUGAUCCAGCAAUGCCGCGUGAGUGAUGAAGGCCUUAGGGUUGUAAAGCUCUUUUACCCGGGAUGAUAAUGACAGUACCGGGAGAAUAAGCCCCGGCUAACUCCGUGCCAGCAGCCGCAGUAAUAC